CAACCCAUCCUCCUCCCCCGAUCCAAAUCCACACCUCCCUCCAACUUCUACCGGCGCCGCCGCCAGAAAACCACCCAGUGCGCCGCCCCGCCGCUAUCCACCUUACCAGGGCCUUCCCCAACCCUCUCCUUCCUCCUGACGGGCCAUGCGUUCCCCUCCAUCUUCCUGCGCUGGACCUUCCUCGACCACGCCCACGUUCAACCGCCUCCACACCCCGGGAACGAACUCCACCGGCUCCAAGCGUCUCGCGCGGCUGCCGGCGUGGAUCCGGGCACGCCGACCCCAGGCACCUCCCAUGGCUGCCGAUGUAGAUCCGCCCUAGGAGCCAUGCGCGACUGCCGGCACGGAUCCGGCAGCGCCGCUCCCAGGCACCCUACACUGCUGCCGGCGCGGGUCUGCCCCCGCCGCCCCGCCAUGGACAGAUGUCUCAACCCCUCGUGCAGAUUUUGCCAUGCGUUGCAUCUCGGCUGUGUUCUCCUCCUUGCCGAGUUGGUGGCCAUGCACGGCAGACUCCGGCGACCACAUACCCGCCACCGCGCUUCGGCCACUUCCAGCGUUGCCGUCGGCCAUGCCCCUGGUCCUCCUCUACCCCCCUGAACCUCUGCCAUCCCCUUCACCAGUGCCCACUCUGGCCGCCCACCGCUCCCCUUCAACCGAAGCAGUUCUUCCGAGCGACCCCCACAGCUCUCUCCUCCCCCAUAUGCAGAUCACUGGUAACACACCCCCUUCCAUGCCGCAUUUUAUUUGGGCAAUGUCAGUACGCAUCGCCUGUUGUUGCAGUCCAUCCCACGGGCACCUUCAGUACGCAUCGCCCCCACCUUGGUUAAAGCUCUGGCUCCCCUGGAUCAAACUGCCACCGGUGAGCUUUUUUUCAGAACCAGUGCGGCAUCGUGCGGUACCAUGGCGUCCUUUGUGCAGUGCGGAUGGGCGAGGCGUGCAUUUUACUUGGAGUGGGCAGAAGGUUCUUUAGCUGCUUGAUAAGUUAGCCGGAGGAAAACAGGGUGUUACCCCUGAUACACUUCGGCUGGGAGACCGUUGAAGUUGGUGAAGUCAUAUUUGUGUGUGUCAUGUGUAUAUAAUUUCUUUUUCUUUGUUUUUAUGUGGUUGUUUGCUUGUGUAAACUUAUAUUAAAAAUGUGUCUUUUGAUUAUUAUUUGCAUCAUUUAUGCAGUGCACUUAUCUCCCCCAAUGUAGUGCGCUGGACUGUGGCCGUGCAGUUCGGCAGCCGCACGCCCGAGUGUCAUUUAAAUUGUUAAAUUUGUUGAGAAAAAACAAAUGCAGUUCGUCAACCCCACACAUGCAGUGCAUUGUGUUUUGUUUGAAAAAAUUUGAGGGAGUACUUGUCGAACAUGUUGCAAAAAUACGUUUGGAAAAGUUUCUGUUUCAUAAAAGAAACCAUGCAGCUCGCUUCCCCGUUCAAUGCAGUGCGGUUUUCAUUCUGAAGCAGUUCGGUCGGACGUGUGAUGUUGUUCAUCCCAUAAGUGCAAAAAAUUGUUACGGAAACAAAAAAAAGUAAUGUGGUUCACUUCUUGAUAA